GGAUGUGAGGGCAAUCUGGCUGUGACAGCUGUCCUUGCAUUGAUCAACAAGGUUGAUUUGGCUGAUCCGGAUUGCCAGGCGGGUGCCCCCUUCCUCCCUCACCACUCCAUGUGCGUCCAUCCUGAAGCUGCAUGCUUUGUCAAAGAGGAUGACCAGCCCAAUAGAGGAGUACCAGUCUUAAGUCAAGAAUAUAUGGAUAGCUGCGCUUCCCUGCUAGAUUCUCCAAACAAGCUCUCAAAAUGCAUGCAAAACCUCUGCACUAAACAUUGUAACACACUGCUGAAACUAAUGACAG
rnacentral:snRNA from 1 species